rnacentral:rRNA from 1 species
UCUGAAAAAAAUAGAAGGUCCAGCCUGCCCAGUGACCAAGUUAAACGGCCGCGGUACCCUAACCGUGCGAAGGUAGCGCAAUCACUUGUUCUUUAAAUGAGGACUAGUAUGAACGGCAUCACGAGGGUUACACUGUCUCCCACCUCUAAUCAGUUAAACUGAUCCCCCCGUGAAGAAGCGGGGAUACAAAUAUAAGACGAGAAGACCCCAUGGAGCUUUAAACCCAGCACCAAUUAUCUAUAAUCAUACCUUAAAAGCCCGAUAAUACUGGAUGCCGGUUUUAGGUUGGGGUGACCGCGGAGUAUAACACAACCUCCAUGAUGAAAGGCUCUCCCUUUAAUCCAAGAGUAACAACUCUAAGAAUCAAAAACUGACAUACAUUGACCCAAAUAUUUUGAUCAACGAAC